GGAGCNUGUGGUUUAAUUCGAUGCAACGCGAAGAACCUUACCUACUCUUGACAUCCACAGAAUUCGGCAGAGAUGCCUUAGUGCCUUCGGGAACUGUGAGACAGGUGCUGCAUGGCUGUCGUCAGCUCGUGUUGUGAAAUGUUGGGUUAAGUCCCGCAACGAGCGCAACCCUUAUCCUUUGUUGCCAGCACGUAAUGGUGGGAACUCAAAGGAGACUGCCGGUGAUAAACCGGAGGAAGGUGGGGAUGACGUCAAGUCAUCAUGGCCCUUACGAGUAGGGCUACACACGUGCUACAAUGGCGUAUACAAAGAGAAGCGAACUCGCGAGAGCCAGCGGACCUCAUAAAGUACGUCGUAGUCCGGAUCGGAGUCUGCAACUCGACUCCGNGAAGUCGGAAUCGC
rnacentral:rRNA from 1 species